GCAACGCUUAAACAAAUUCUAAGAAACAC
rnacentral:piRNA from 1 species